CAAUGACAACCGCCCGUCGCAGAGCCCCUGAAGGGGCCCCCUCUGCCGUGAGUCAAAGUCGCCCCUCCCUCACCUCCUUCUCUCUGUCAGACAGAGGGAGAGGGGGAGAGAGAGGUGCCCACAGCGUGUGCAGCUGCUCUUCAGUAAAUAAAAACAUGGAGGCGUAACUGCGGAGAGGACGAUAGAUAAUGAAGAGAAGUUAUCCUUCUGGAAGUGAAAAAAGAAAGAAAAAAAAGGAGGAGGAAGAGAAAAGAAAACAAGAAAGCGGAUCCCUAAGGAGAUUUUUCACUUCAAAAGGUGUUGUGACACCUUCUUCAGAUACGGAUCAUACAAGUUUUUCUCUCUACAUCUGUUCUCUGAGCCACUAGAUGGAGACACCGGAUCAGUUUAGGCCUGACUGUGAACACCGUUGACACCCACCUCAGGGAGACGCUGUCUAAGAUCUCAAGGCAGCUUGGUUGUGGUCUUUCUGGCACGUACUCUUCCAAGAUGAGCCGGGAAGUUUAACACUGAUGGAAU
ensembl:lncRNA